UUUUCAUGCCAACCAGUUUCUUCUUCUUCUU
rnacentral:sRNA from 1 species